AUUCAUACCCCCAUCCUACCCUGAUGUGAUCAUGGGAACCACGUUUUCUCUGCAGCCAGGAGAUACACUUUUAUUCAGCCCCGGGGGUUUUCACUCAAAUAGUUGAUUCACUUUGGCUUUCAUCAGUUUCUUCCUCUUGACUCCCCCUUGAUUUUCCUCUAUGCCUCUAAGUCUGCAAACCCUCCAGUGGGGUUGACAUCCUGCACUCCUAAGGAGUCUGGGCAUGUUUCUAAACCUGGAGGCCUUUUCCUUAGUUGUCUCAGAGUGUUGGGUUGUUGUUGUAGUCAACUUUUUCUUAUUUUUCCCUCCUGUGAUGAAAAACAAAAGUUAUAUAUUCUGAUUGAAAAUAAUUUGAGAUUAUCUAAAGAGAAAUUAAAGUUCACUCGAAAUUCCUCUGUCCUGAGAUAUUUACCCAUUAACAGUUAGCCAUCCUUG
rnacentral:lncRNA from 1 species